UCUGUUUUUAGUUCAUCUAGGGAUUUUUGGCACUUCUGUGUCGAAAGUUUGGACAAAGGGCAGACACACACUGGUCAGUGACUGAUCUUAAAAACGAAAGAGAUGUUGAACAUUCAUCAGUGUACUGCUGCAGAAUCACCGCAUCCUUAUUUUUCACAACUAAACAUUGUUUGAUUAUUGAGAUUUCGGAGACUGACAACACAUCUGUAGUCUGAAGGGCUGAGCUCUUUUACCCUGGUGUAUGUGUGAUCGAGCCCUCAGACGGGAACAUGGGCGAGUGACAUUGCGACGCUCAGAGCUGGGACGUCUCCACUCCACGCAUUUUCAGAUGCAUACUGGGAUGAAAACGCCAUCAUGCAGACUCUGGCUAUGAUGAUGAUGAUGAUAUCGUCAUAUUCAGCUCUUGCAGAUCAAAGUUUAAAGUGUUAUAAUGAUUACCACAACACCUUCACAUGUGUUUGGAACACCUCAAAUCUGGACGUGAUCCCUUCGAUCCAACCUGAGACCGAAUGCAAUAUUACAGUAUCAGUUACUAAGAGGUAAUUUACUUUGA